rnacentral:misc_RNA from 1 species
GAUGAAGAACGUAGCGAAAUGCGAUAAGUAAUGUGAAUUGCAGAAUUCAGUGAAUCAUCGAAUCUUUGAACGCACAUUGCGCCCGCCAGCAUUCUGGCGGGCAUGCCUGUUCGAGCGUCAUUUCAACCCUCGACCUCCCUUUGGGGAAGUCGGCGUUGGGGACCGGCAGCACACCGCCGGCCCUGAAAUGGAGUGGCGGCCCGUCCGCGGCGACCUCUGCGUAGUAAUCCAACUCGCACCGGAACCCCGACGCGGCCACGCCGUAAAACACCCAACUUCUGAACGUUGACCUCGAAUCAGGUAGGACUACCCGCUGAACUUAAGCAUAUCAAUAAGCGGAGGA